ensembl:lncRNA
AGUCUUUCCCAUUCUGUCGUUUUCCUCUAUUUCUUUGCAUUGAUUGCUGAGGAGGGCUUUCUUAUCUCUUCUUGCUAUUCUUUGGAACUCUGCAUUCAGAUGCUUAUAUAUUUCCUUUUCUCCUUUGCUUUUUGUUUCUCUUUUCACAGCUAUUUGUAAGGCCUCUGCAGACAGCCAUUUGCUUUUUUGCAUUUCUUCUCCAUGGGGAUGGUCUUGAUCCCUGUCUCCUGUACAAUGUCAUGAACUUCUCUCUGUAGUUCAUCAGGCACUCUGUCUAUCAGAUCUAGUCCCUUAAAUCUAUUUCUCACUUCCACUGUAUAAUCAUAAGGGAUUUGACUUAGGUCAUGCCUGAAUGGUCUAGCAGUUUUCCCUACUUUCUUCAAUUUAAGCCUGAAUUUGACAAUAAGGAGUUCAUGAUCUGAGCCGCAGUCAUCUCCCAGUCUUGUUUUUGCUGACUGUAUAGAGCUUCUCCAUCUUUGGCUGCAAAGAAUAUAAUCAAUCUGAUUUCGGUGUUGACCAUCUGGUGAUGUUCAUGUGUAGAGUCUUCUCUUGUCUUGUUAGAAGAGGAUGUUUGCUAUGACCAGUGCGUUCUCUUGGCAAAACUCUAUUAGUCUUUGCCCUGCUUCAUUCUGUAUUCCAAGGCCAAAUUUGCCUGUUACUCCAGGUGUUCCUUGACUUCCUACUUUUGCAUUCCAGUCCUCUAUAAUGAUAAGGACAUCUUUUUUGGGUGUUAGUUCUAGAAGGUCUUGUAAGUCUUCAUAGAACCAUUCAACUUCAGCUUCUUCAGCAUUACUGGUUGGGGCAUAACUUGGAUUACCAUGAUAUUGAAUGGUUUGCCUUGGAAACGAACAGAGAUCAUUCUGUCGUUUUUGAGAUUGCAUCCAAGUACUGCAUUUCAGACUCUUUUUUUGACAAUGAUGGCUACUCCAUUUCUUCUAAGGGAUUCCUACUCACAGUAGUAGAUAUAAUGGUCAUCUGAGUUAAAUUCACCCAUUCCAGUCCAUUUUAGUUCGCUGAUUCCUAGAAUGUCGACAUUCACUCUUGCCAUCUCUUGUUUGACCACUUCCAAUUUGCCUUGAUACAUGGAUCUGACAUUCCAGGUUCCUAUGCAAUAUUGCUCUUUACAGCAUUGGACCUUGCUUCUAUUACCACUCACAUCCACAACUGGGCAUUGUUUUUGCUUUGGCUCCAUCCCUUCAUUCUUUCUGGAGUUAUUUCUCCACCGAUCUCCAGUAGCAUAUUGGGCACCUACCGAACUGGGGAGUUCUCUUUCAGUAUCCUAUCAUUUUGCCUUUUCAUACUGUUCAUGGGGUUCUCAAGCAAGAAUACUGAAGUGGUUUGCCACUCCCUUCUCCAGUGGAUCACAUUCUGUCAGACCUCUCCACCAUGACCCGCCCAUCUUGGGUUGCCCUGCGGGCAUGGCUUAGUUUCAUUGAGUUAAACAAGGCUGUGGUCUGUAUGAUUAAACUGACUAGUUUUCUGUGAUUAUUGUUUCAGUUUGUCUGCCCUCUGAUGACUUCUCGUAACACCUACCAUCUUACUUGGGUUUCUCUAAUACGAUGGAAUGAAGAUUCCAUGAUGAACUGAAGAUCUCAAUGUGGAAGGUACAUUAAUAAAACUUCCCUCCAAAAUUGAAGACUAUUCUCAUGGCGACAAUAAAGGAGAUGAGGAUGUAUGACUAUCUAGAUAUGGUGCUAAUACAUUGCAUUCCUCGUGUCAAAUUUCUCACCUUCUCAAAUUGCCUCUUCUCAAUUACACCAUCUAACGAAGCAAGCUGCCAUGCUGUGAAUUGCCUUAUGGAGAGGCCCAUGGGAAAAGGAAGCAAGGGUGGCCUUCAGCCAACUGCCAGUAAGGAACUGAGGCCUUCAACAGUCUACAUGAAACCGAAUUCUGCCAACAAUCACAUAAGUGAGCUUGGAAAUGGAUCUUUCCCUGGUUGAGCCUCAAAAGGUUUGUAUUCCCAGCCAACACUUUGAUUACAGCCUCAUGAGAGACUGUGAACUGAAGGUUUUGGGUAAACUCUGCCUGGACUCUGAAAACUAUAGAAAUUGUGGGGGUGAUACAUUUUGUUUGAGCCUCUAAAUUUGGGGGGUGCAUGUUAGAUAGAAAUAGAUAGCCAACAUGUACUCCUAUGUUAAAACUCUUUAAUCUUUUUCAAUACAAAAAUCCCUCUGGCUAAUUAGUUCUUAAUUCUGCCCUUGUGCUUGUGCUUCUCUGCUGUUUAAAGAGCUCUAACUUUUGAACUAAGUGAAGCUUUUGUCGACUUGAGGUUUUGUUUGUGCUCAUCUCUCUGCUGGCACAUUCUCAUGCUCUCCCCUCUCAUGGCUGGCCUCGUGUCAUACUUUUGACUUUCUUGAACUUCUAUAUAAUAAUAAAGUUCUUCCCUAACUUCUAAUUAGAUACCUUAACCCUAUGUUAUGUUCAGAGCACUUUUGUAAUUUCAUAUCAUUUGAAUUAUUGGACUGCUACUUAAAAAAGAAAUCUACCUCUCUUAUUGACCUGGUUAUGCCAGGAUUCCAACCUG